rnacentral:rRNA from 1 species
GAUGAACGCCGGCGGCGUGCUUAACACAUGCAAGUCGAACGGUGAAGGCGGAGCUUGCUCUGCUGGAUCAGUGGCGAACGGGUGAGUAACACGUGAGCAAUCUGCCCCUGACUCUGGGAUAAGCGCUGGAAACGGCGUCUAAUACUGGAUACGAGCUGCGAAGGCAUCUUCAGCAGCUGGAAAGAAUUUCGGUCAGGGAUGAGCUCGCGGCCUAUCAGCUUGUUGGUGAGGUAAUGGCUCACCAAGGCGUCGACGGGUAGCCGGCCUGAGAGGGUGACCGGCCACACUGGGACUGAGACACGGCCCAGACUCCUACGGGAGGCAGCAGUGGGGAAUAUUGCACAAUGGGCGAAAGCCUGAUGCAGCAACGCCGCGUGCGGGACGACGGCCUUCGGGUUGUAAACCUCUUUUAGCAGGGAAGAAGCGAAAGUGACGGUACCUGCAGAAAAAGCGCCGGCUAACUACGUG